CUCCUACGGGGGGUAGCAGUAGGGAAUCUUCCACAAUGGGCGAAAGCCUGAUGGAGCAACGCCGCGUGGGUGAAGAAGGUCUUCGGAUCGUAAAACCCUGUUGUUAGAGAAGAAAGUGCGCGAGAGUAACUGUUCACGUUUCGACGGUAUCUAACCAGAAAGCCACGGCUAACUACGUGCCAGCAGCCGCGGUAAUACGUAGGUGGCAAGCGUUAUCCGGAUUUAUUGGGCGUAAAGGGAACGCAGGCGGUCUUUUAAGUCUGAUGUGAAAGCCUUCGGCUUAACCGGAGUAGUGCAUUGGAAAC
rnacentral:rRNA from 1 species